rnacentral:lncRNA from 1 species
CAACACGAACACAGGAAGGUAACCAAACUACUACCACCGAUCCGAGACACCUAGCCAGGAAACUACCCUGACCUAACCUAGCCGCCGAAGCCGUAGAGGGUGCGGCCCUGGCGCUUGAGGGCGUAGACGACGUCCAUGGCGGUGACGGUCUUGCGGCGGGCGUGCUCCGUGUAGGUGACGGCGUCGCGGAUGACGUUCUCGAGGAAGAUCUUGAGCACGCCGCGGGUCUCCUCGUAGAUCAGACCGGAGAUGCGCUUCACGCCGCCCCUCCUCG